rnacentral:tRNA from 1 species
AAGAAAGUGGCAGAUUGGUUAUGCUAGUGGCUUGAAACCAUUUUACGGGGGUUCGAUUCCCUCCUUUCUCG